CUCCUGUGACACAGGUGAGCCAGACUCGGUGGCGC
rnacentral:sRNA from 1 species